UACGGGGGGGGGCAAGCGUUGUUCGGAAUUACUGGGCGUAAAGGCUCGUAGGUGGCCAACUAAGUCAGACGUGAAAUCCCCCGGGCUCAACCCGGGAACUGCGUCCGAUACUGGGAGGCUUGAAUCCGGGAGAGGGAUGUGGAAUUCCAGGUGUAGCGGUGAAAUGCGUAGAUAUCUGGAGGAACACCGGUGGCGAAGGCGGCAUCCUGGACCGGUAUUGACGCUGAGUGCGCGAAAGCCAGGGGAGCAAAGCGGG
rnacentral:rRNA from 1 species